ensembl:lncRNA
GGACUGAGCUGCAGGUGCCCCGGCCCCCCAAUCCCUGGCCAUCUGUCUGGGAAGGCCCAUUGUGGGGGCUCUGACAUCACAGCGGGGGGCAGCGUGAUGUCACAGGCCCCAUUGUGGAGGCUGAGGCGCCCCCUCCAGAGGCAGCCGCCCAAUCCUAUUAAGCACAGGCUCCGGACAAAGCCAUGAAGUGGAAUAUUUACUGGAAGGGCUCCUGCUGAAGCUGAAGCUCCAGUAUUUGGCACCUGAUGCAAAGACCUGAUUCGCUGGAAAACGCCCUGAUGCUGGGGAAGACUGAGGGCAGAAGGAGAAGGGGACGACAGAGGAUGAGAUGGCUGGAUGGCAUCACUGACUAGAUGGACACGAAUUUGAGUAAACGCCGGGAGAUGCUGAAGGACAGGGAAGCCUGGCGUGCUGCAGUCCAUGGGGUCGCAGAGAGUCGGACACGCCUGGGCGACUGAACAGCAGUCGUGAGCUGGGACUCAGUGUCCCUCACAGGGCGGGCCUGACGCCUGGACAAGGCAGUGUGGGCGCCCAGGACGCUGCUCCCGGUGGGGAGGGGCAGGGACUGCUCCGGUCCUGCCCCAGCCCCACCGCCAUCCCUCCUGGGGUUUCAAUCCUCCCCAGCUGGCAUCUGCAUCCUUUGAAGGACCUGUCUGGGGACACCUAGGUGGGGGAGGGACAGCCCCUCCAGGAGAGGUCUGCGCUCCGCCCCGGUGCCUCCUAGUGGGUCUCUCCAUCCUUGGCAGAGUGCCCGGGUGUGCAAGGAGGCCAGGGGUAGCUUGGUUUCGGACAACAAAGUCCUCUUUCUCCCCAGCCUGAGGAAUGCCUGGCACCUCUCCCGCCCCCGCCCCAUCCGUAUCUGUUACCCAGACCCAGUGCUCGCUCCGCGGGGCCCAGGCUGGGCAUGGGCUCCGCCCUGAGCCUCUGGGGCAGCGAGGACCCUCUGUGCUGUGGACGUGGCUUCCCUGCCCCUGAGCAGCCUCCCCUGCCUGCCAUCUCUCUUUCUCUCUCUCUCACACACACACACACGCACACACAUGCACACACACACGCACACACACACACGGUCCCCCGGAACAGCCCAGCCCUGGGCUCGCGGGCCUGAGCCCCAUUCAGAACCCAUGGCCGGCCCAGCCUGGGCCGUGGACGCCUGCAGCAGCCUGAGCAGGAGGACGAGCCCCCGAGGGUGAGCGCCGCCUCACCCUGUUGUUCCUGUGACUUUGUACUUGAUGAUGUUUUUAAAAAUACCCUAACUUGGCAAAGCAGGAAGUCACAGCCCCACCCACGCUUGCCCCCUUUCUCUGAAUCGGUGUGGGCAUGUGAGGCCCCAAGGUCUGAGCUCCUGACUGUUCAAGCCUCUCAUGUCUACCAAGGUGGACGCAGAGGCCCAGAAUGGGCGAGAGGUUCCGAGGCCUCGGAGCCUGGUCGGGCUGGACCCGCAGGGAGGAUGGGCCGGUGAGGCCACGUGAGCUCUGACGGGAGCUCAGUCUGAGCCCAGCCAAGGGCAGGAGGAGGGCUGACUCCCCUCCGUCCAGAUGGGGACACUGAGGCGCGGCGAGGAGCCUCCCGAGGCUGCCAGUGGGGAGCAGUGAGAGUGUGCACUCCAGUCCUGGUCCCGCGGUGGGAGGGGCGGUCAGAGAUGCCGAGCCCCGGGUGCCCUCCCUGCCCACCGCAGCGCCCAGGACGGCCCGAGGACUCAGCAAGGGCAGGCCUGAUGGGGCGGCGGGGAGGGGCCUUCAGAUCCAGGCUGCUGCCCUGGUCUUGACCCCCCUGGCGGGGCUGCCCUCUUGCCAUAGCCCUGGGCAGAUUCUGCCCAGACACCCCAGGAAUGUGUGGGGAACAGGGCUCGGGAGGAUGAGGCCUGGGGACCAGGGUGGGCAGAACACGAGAGCUGCUUGUCUGGACGCUCCCUGCGCCCUGGGGCUGGACCGCGGCCGGCAGAGGGGGCCCCAAGGGCACGCGGUCAUCCCUGAGUGCUGUGUGACUCUUGGGGUGUGGCUACUCGUCUCUGGUUUCCCGGGGUGCAAAGCGGAG